rnacentral:rRNA from 1 species
CCUACGGGUGACUGCAGUGGGGAAUAUUGGACAAUGGGGGGAACCCUGAUCCAGCCAUGCCGCGUGUGUGAAGAAGGCCCUCGGGUUGUAAAGCACUUUCAGUGAGGAAGAACGCCUGGUGGUUAAUACCCAUCAGGAAAGACAUCACUCACAGAAGAAGCACCGGCUAACUCCGUGCCAGCAGCCGCGGUAAUACGGAGGGUGCGAGCGUUAAUCGGAAUUACUGGGCGUAAAGCGCGCGUAGGUGGCUUGAUAAGCCGGUUGUGAAAGCCCCGGGCUCAACCUGGGAACGGCAUCCGGAACUGUCAAGCUAGAGUGCAGGAGAGGAAGGUAGAAUUCCCGGUGUAGCGGUGAAAUGCGUAGAGAUCGGGAGGAAUACCAGUGGCGAAGGCGGCCUUCUGGACUGACACUGACACUGAGGUGCGAAAGCGUGGGUAGCAAACAGGAUUAGAUACCCGAGUAGUC